rnacentral:rRNA from 1 species
CCUGGUUGAUCCUGCCAGUAGUCAUAUUCUUGUCUCAAAGAUUAAGCCAUGCAUGUGUAAGUAUGAACAAAUUCAGACUAUGAAACUGCGAAUGGCUCAUUAAAUCAGUUAUAGUUUGUUUGAUGGUAACUACUACUCGGAUAACCGUAGUAAUUCUAGAGCUAAUAUGUGCAACAAACUCUGACUUCUGGAAGGGAUGCAUUUAUUAGAUAAAAGGUCGACGCGGGCUCUGCCCGUUGCUCUGAUGAUUCAUGAUAACUCGACAGAUCGCAUGGCCUUAGUGCUGGCGACGCAUCAUUCAAAUUUCUGCCCUAUCAACUUUCGAUGGUAGGAUAGUGGCCUACCAUGGUGGUAACGGGUGACGGAGAAUUAGGGUUCGAUUCCGGAGAGGGAGCCUGAGAAACGGCUACCACAUCCAAGGAAGGCAGCAGGCGCACAAAUUACCAAAUCCUGACACGGGGAGGUAGUGACAAUAAAUAAAAAUACCGGGCUCUUUGAGUCUGGUAAUUGGAAUGAGUACAAUCUAAAUCCCUUAACGAGGAUCCAUUGGAGGGCAAUUCUGGUGCCAGCAGCCGCGGUAAUUCCAGCUCCAAUAGCGUAUAUUUAAGUUGUUGCAGUUAAAAAGCUCGUAGUUGAACCUUGGGAUGGGUCGCCCGGUCCGCCUUCGGUGAGCACCAGUCGGCUUGUCUGUCGGCGAUAUGCUCCUGGCCUUAACUGGCCGGGUCGUGCCUCCGUCGCUGUUACAUUGAAGAAAUUAGAGUGCUCAAAGCAAGCCUACGCUUUGUAUACAUUAGCAUGGGAUAACAUCAUAGGAUUUCGAUCCUAUUCUGUUGUCCUUCGGGAUCGGAGUAAUGAUUAACAGGGACAGUCGGUGUAAUAACCCUCACGAGCAGAUAGAAUUUUGGUCGAGAAAAUUCUUUAAGAGCAGUUUGAAGAUUGAUCGAUCAGAAUUUAAAAUAAAAAUCGAGCCGGUAAAUUAAUGCUUCGACGGGACUGUCUUGUGGUCGAAAGACCUUCCCUUGAUAGUUUUAGUCGAGUCUUAACUAUUUGGCCGAAUUCUUUUUAUUUAAGCUGGACGAGAUUUUCAAGAGCAAAACGAGGGCCGAAGACAAGGAAUAUUUGGUUGAAAAAUUAUUAAAAAUUAUCGACCAACUUCCUAAAUAAUUUCAGAGCUAAGUUAUGUUCUCCACCAGCCUGCUUGCUCGGUAUUAAAUCACAUGUUAUGCACCUGCCUGCUUGCCUAGCUUCUUCAGUAACAGCACAUGCAAGUCAUAAGCAUCUUGCUGUGCUUGCUCAUUAAUUUAGUCACAUGAUUGUCACCAGCUGCUUGCAGCUUUCUUCUUGGGAGGGAAAGGACAGCAGCUUGCUGUUGGAAGUGCUGAAGCUGCUCUCCACAUGUCCUUUCUCAGCCUUGCUUUGUGCUGAGUGAAACCCUCAGCUGAAGCAACUUCUUAUGUUAUAAAACAUCAUCUUCUCUCUUCCGGUCGUCCAUGAUCUGCAAGAAAACAAGAAAACAAAAUUGAGAGAUUGAGAGAAAAAUCAGAGAAAGAAAGAGAGAAACUCAGAAGAAAAAUCAAGAGAAAUUUUUUGUUGGUUUGAUCUUCAACCUCAGGCCACAGCUAGAACAUGUGGGAAAGAAGAAGAUGAGAUAUACAAAAUAAACCAUAGCUUUUGUUCUAUUUCUGAUAUGAACCGAACCUUGAUCUCUCUUUUUAAUCGGUUCAGCCGUGAGCUAAGCUUGGAGGUUAGCACCAUCUUAGAUCAUCUAAC